GAUGAACGCUAGCGGCAGGCUUAACACAUGCAAGUCGAGGGGUAACAUAGGAAAGCUUGCUUUUCUGAUGACGACCGGCGCACGGGUGCGUAACGCGUAUACAACCUACCUUUUAGCGGGGAAUAACCCAGGGAAACUUGGAUUAAUGCCCCAUAGUAUAUAGACUUCUCCUGAAGUUUAUAUUAAACAUUUAUGGCUAUUAGAUGGGUAUGCGUCCUAUUAGUUAGUUGGUAAGGUAACGGCUUACCAAGGCAGCGAUAGGUAGGGGUCCUGAGAGGGAGAUCCCCACACUGGUACUGAGACACGGACCAGACUCCUACGGGAGGCAGCAGUGAGGAAUAUUGGACAAUGGGCGAGAGCCUGAUCCAGCCAUGCCGCGUGCAGGAAGACUGCCCUAUGGGUUGUAAACUGCUUUUACAGAGGAAGAACCACCCCCACGUGUGGGGGUUUGACGGUACUCUGCGAAUAAGGAUCGGCUAACUCCGUG
rnacentral:rRNA from 1 species